CUGCUCAGCCCUUAGAUAGCGAGUGUGUAUCAGUGCAGACUUCUGAUGAGCCCAGCAGGAAGCGCAACAUCACAAUGGAGGAAACAACGUACAUAUGGACAGAAGAAAAAACAAAGCAGUUAAUCGAUCUACGGAUUAAAAAUGAGAGUCUCUUCACUAAAAAGAGGAAUGGGAUGGAGAGUGGCGAGGGCGUCCCAUCUGUUUGGCUUCUCUUUCACACUUCCCCUUAAUCAGGAGUGCCCUCCACAGCUGCGAGUGUAACUUGAUUUGGAGUGACACUCGGUAGUGAAGUGGUAGUGGGUAGGGAGUGGUUUGGGAUUGGGCCUCUGUCUCCAAGCACUCACACCUUGACUGAGUGUUUGUCAGAUGUUUGCCAUGUGUCUUUUGGUUUGAUCUCCAAUGUAAGUAGUUUCUUUAUAUUCCUUUAAUUAUAGUGUUUCUGACAUGAAGAAUGGAUAAUUUAUUUGAUCUAAUUUGUUAAAU